UACGUAGGGUGCAAGCGUUUAAUCGGAAUUACUGGGCGUAGAGUGUGCGCAGGCGGUCGUUCAAGUCGAGUGUGAAAGCCCCCGGCUCAACUGGGGAGGGUCACUCGAUACUGAUCGACUCGAAGGCAGAAGAGGGAAGCGGAAUUCCCGGUGUAGUGGUGAAAUGCGUAGAUAUCGGGAAGAACACCAGUGGCGAAGGCGGCUCACUGGUCCGGUACUGACGCUGAGGUGCGAAAGCGUGGGGAGCAAACAGG
rnacentral:rRNA from 1 species